rnacentral:rRNA from 1 species
GACGUAGGGCGCGAGCGUUGUCCGGAUUUAUUGGGCGUAAAGAGCUCGUAGGCGGCUUGUCGCGUCUGCUGUGAAAUCCCGAGGCUCAACCUCGGGCUUGCAGUGGGUACGGGCAGACUAGAGUGGUGGUAGGGGAGACUGGAAUUCCUGGUGUAGCGGUGAAAUGCGCAGAUAUCAGGAGGAACACCGAUGGCGAAGGCAGGUCUCUGGGCCACUACUGACGCUGGAGAAGCGGAAAAGCAUGGGGAGCGAACAGG